GACGAAGGUGGCGAGCGUUGUUCGGAAUCACUGGGCAUAAAGCGCGCGUAGGCGGCUAUGUAAGUCAGGUGUGAAAGCCCUCGGCUCAACCGAGGAACUGCGCCUGAUACUGCAUGGCUUGAGGUCCGGAGGGGAGAGUGGAAUUCCCGGUGGAGCGGUGAAAUGCGUAGAGAUCGGGAAGAACACCUAUGGCGAAGGCAGCUCUCUGGGACGGUACUGACGCUGAGACGCGAAAGCGUGGGGAGCGAACAGG
rnacentral:rRNA from 1 species